CCUACGGGAGACAGCAGUGGGGAAUAUUGCACAAUGGGGGAAACCCUGAUGCAGCGACGCCGCGUGAGCGAUGAAGUAUUUCGGUAUGUAAAGCUCUAUCAGCAGGGAAGAAAAUGACGGUACCUGACUAAGAAGCCCCGGCUAACUACGUGCCAGCAGCCGCGGUAAUACGUAGGGGGCAAGCGUUAUCCGGAUUUACUGGGUGGAAAGGGAGCGUAGACGGUCCUGCAAGCCAGAUGUGAAAGCCCGGGGCUCAACCCCGGGACUGCAUUUGGAACUGUAAGGCUAGAGUGUCGGAGAGGCAGGCGGAAUUCCUAGUGUAGCGGUGAAAUGCGUAGAUAUUAGGAGGAACACCAGUGGCGAAGGCGGCCUGCUGGACGAUGACUGACGUUGAGGCUCGAAAGCGUGGGGAGCAAACAGGAUUAGAUACCCCGGUAGUC
rnacentral:rRNA from 1 species